CCUACGGGCGGCAGCAGUGAGGAAUAUUGGUCAAUGGUCGGGAGACUGAACCAGCCAAGCCGCGUGCAGGAGGAAGGUACAGAGUAUCGUAAACUUCUUUUGUCAGGGGACAAAGACUGGGACGCGUCCUCGUUUGUAUGUACCUGAUGAAAAAGCACCGGCUAAGUCCGUGCCAGCAGCCGGGGUAAUACGGAGGAUGCGAGCGUUAUCCGGAUUUAUUGGGUUUAAAGGGUGCGCAGGCGGUCUGUUAAGUCAGCGGUCAAAGCCCGGGGCUCAACCCAGUCCCGCGGUUGCAACUGGCAGUCUCGAGUGGGAGAGAGGUAUGCGGAAUGCGCGGUGUAGCGGUGAAAUGCAUAGAUAUCGCGCAGAACUCCGAUUGCGAAGGCAGCAUGCCGGCUCCACACUGACGCUGAGGCACGAAGGCGUGGGUAUCGAACAGGAUUAGAUACCCGAGUAGUC
rnacentral:rRNA from 1 species